UACAGAGGGGGCGAGCGUUGUUCGGAAUUAUUGGGCGUAAAGGGCGCGUAGGCGGUUUGUUAAGUCGGUUGUGAAAGCCCGGGGCUCAACCCCGGAGGGUCGACCGAUACUGGCAGGCUAGAGUACAGAAGAGGUAGCUGGAAUUCCCGGUGUAGCGGUGAAAUGCGUAGAUAUCUGCAGGAACACCCGUGGCGAAAGCGGCGCGCUGGACCACUACUGACGCUGAGGAACGAAAGCUAGGGGAGCAAACAGG
rnacentral:rRNA from 1 species